rnacentral:tRNA from 1 species
AGGGGGCUAAGUUAAUUGAAACUAUUGAGCUUCAAACUCAAAAAUAAUGACUGCCAUUGUCCCCUA